UGGGGGAUAUUGCACAAUGGGGGAAACCCUGAUGCAGCAACGCCGCGUGAGGGAAGACGGUUUUCGGAUUGUAAACCUUUGUCUUUGGUGAAGAAGAAAGUGACGGUAGCCAAGGAGGAAGCCACGGCUAACUACGUGCCAGCAGCCGCGGUAAUACGUAGGUGGCAAGCGUUGUCCGGAAUUACUGGGUGUAAAGGGAGCGCAGGCGGGAGCGCAAGUUGGAUGUGAAAUACCGCAGCUUAACUGCGGAGCUGCAUCCAAAACUGUGUUUCUUGAGUGAAGUAGAGGUAGGCGGAAUUCCGAGUGUAGCGGUGAAAUGCGUAGAUAUUCGGAGGAACACCGGUGGCGAAGGCGGCCUACUGGGCUUUUACUGACGCUGAGGCUCGAAAGUGUGGGGAGC
rnacentral:rRNA from 1 species